rnacentral:rRNA from 1 species
GGCCACAGACAUAUCACUUUGCAGUGGUUACUCACUGAAGCUAAGCAGGGCUGAGCCUGGUCAGUACCUGGAUGGGAGACCACAUGGGAAAACUAGGUUGCUGUUGGAA